CCUUUGGCCAUGCGGGGCCGUGGACGCCCUCACCAAGUGAUUAAGGACGGCGACCUGGUGCCCUGCAGCACCUGUGGCAAGCGGCUGACAAAGCAUAACCUGCCAAGACACGCCAGAUCCCAGCACCAGGUCGGCCCGAAAAAGCUUCGAGGUUUUGUGCAGAAAUGUGUAAGAGCGGAGGCGAAGUCAGUUCGUCAGAAGAGGUAUGAGGAGGGUGCGGUUAAGGACUUGUUGAUAUCACAGCCCGACAGCGGAGGACCCGACGGUCCGUCGACGUCGCGCGGUGUUGCGUCUGGGCAUCUGGAUGGUCGUCUGGAGGAGGACGGACCUGCGGUCGUCAGCGGUGCUUUGAGUGGCGGUCCAGCACAGAUGCCUGACAGCCAGAUCAUUCCUGCGCCGGCUGAUCAGGAUCAACCUGUGUUGAAGAGGGGGAGGGAUGGUGAUGACAGUGAUCAGCAGAAGCAAGAAAUACAAAAAGAUCAAGAUGCCCAAACAGCCAGAUCAUCCCUGCUCCUGCUGAUAAGGAUCAACCAGUGUUGAAGAGGGGGAGGGAUGGUGAUGGCAAUGAUCAGCAGAAGCAAGAAUACAAAAAGAUCAAGCGGUGCUCGGGCGGCGCCCGCCGGGUGCCCGCCGCC